GAUGAACGCUGGCGGCGUGCCUAAUACAUGCAAGUCGAGCGAACGGACGAGAAGCUUGCUUCUCUGAUGUUAGCGGCGGACGGGUGAGUAACACGUGGAUAACCUACCUAUAAGACUGGGAUAACUUCGGGAAACCGUAGCUAAUACCGGAUAAUAUUUUGAACCGCAUGGUUCAAAAGUGAAAGACGGUCUUGCUGUCACUUAUAGAUGGAUCCGCGCUGCAUUAGCUAGUUGGUAAGGUAACGGCUUACCAAGGCAACGAUGCAUAGCCGACCUGAGAGGGUGAUCGGCCACACUGGAACUGAGACACGGUCCAGACUCCUACGGGAGGCAGCAGUAGGGAAUCUUCCGCAAUGGGCGAAAGCCUGACGGAGCAACGCCGCGUGAGUGAUGAAGGUCUUCGGAUCGUAAAACUCUGUUAUUAGGGACGAACAUAUGUGUAAGUAACUGUGCACAUCUUGACGGUACCUAAUCAGAAAGCAACGGCUAACUACGUG
rnacentral:rRNA from 1 species